rnacentral:rRNA from 2 species
CAACUUUCAGCAACGGAUCUCUUGGCUCUCGCAUCGAUGAAGAACGCAGCGAAAUGCGAUAAGUAAUGUGAAUUGCAGAAUUCAGUGAAUCAUCGAAUCUUUGAACGCACCUUGCGCUCCUUGGUAUUCCGAGGAGCAUGCCUGUUUGAGUGUCAUGUAA